CACGUAGGGUGCGAGCGUUGUCCGGAAUUAUUGGGCGUAAAGAGCUCGUAGGCGGUGUGUCGCGUCGGCCGUGAAAACCGGGGGCUUAACCCUCGGCGUGCGGGCGAUACGGGCAGACUUGAGUACUGCAGGGGAGACCGGAAUUCCUGGUGUAGCGGUGGAAUGCGCAGAUAUCAGGAGGAACACCGGUGGCGAAGGCGGGUCUCUGGGCAGUAACUGACGCUGAGGAGCGAAAGCGUGGGGAGCGAACAGG
rnacentral:rRNA from 1 species